rfam:Pan troglodytes isolate Yerkes chimp pedigree #C0471 (Clint) chromosome X, whole genome shotgun sequence.
GCUGGGUGUGGUGGUGCACACCUGUAAUCCCAGCUACUUGGGAGGCUGAGGUAGGAGAAUCGCUUGAACCUGGGAGGCUGAGGUUGCAGUGAGUCGAGACUGUGCCACUGAACUCCAGCCUGGGAGACAGAGCGAGACUCCAUCUCAA